UCCGUAGGGUGAACCUGCGGAGGGAUCAUUACACAAUAAAAUACGAAGGCCGUUCGCGGCUGGACUAUUUAUUACCCUUGUCUUUUGCGCACUUGUUGUUUCCUGGGCGGGUUCGCUCGCCACCAGGACCACAAUAUAAACCUUUUUUAUGCAGUUGCAAUCAGCGUCAGUAUAACAAAUGUAAAUCAUUUACAACUUUCAACAACGGAUCUCUUGGUUCUGGCAUCGAUGAAGAACGCAGCGAAAUGCGAUACGUAGUGUGAAUUGCAGAAUUCAGUGAAUCAUCGAAUCUUUGAACGCACAUUGCGCCCUUUGGUAUUCCAAAGGGCAUGCCUGUUCGAGCGUCAUUUGUACCCUCAAGCUUUGCUUGGUGUUGGGCGUUUUUGUCUUUGGCCCGCCAAAGACUCGCCUUAAAAUGAUUGGCAGCCGGCCUACUGGUUUCGCAGCGCAGCACAUUUUUGCGCUUGCAAUCAGCAAAAGAGGACGGCAAUCCAUCAAGACUCCUUCUCACGUUUGACCUCGGAUCAGGUAGGGAUACCCGCUGAACUUAAGCAUAUCAUA
rnacentral:rRNA from 1 species